ACAUCAUAAUUUCAUACCAUGUCCUAGCCUCACUUUCUAGGCUUCUUAAAAAUUUGUUUCAAAAAUAUGUGAUCUAAUCCCUCUCUAAAACUAUAGGUGGCCUGACAACAUCGAUAAACAGGUAUGUGGGAAAAUAUUGCUAAUCCUAGAGAAGAAAUGGUCUUCCAUCCUCAGAGAAUCAAAGCUGCAGACAUGUGAUGGUUUGUCACUGCCAGCAAAUGACAAUGCAGAGGUGAAUUGUGUCCAUGUGGAGAACCAUGUGGGGAACCAUGUGGAGAACCAUGUGGAGAACCAUGGGGAGAACCAUGUGGAGAACCAUGUGGGGAACCAUGUGGAGAACCAUGGGGAGAACUAUGUGGAGAACCAUGGGGGGAACCAUGUGGGGAACCAUGUGGAGAACCAUGGGGAGAACUAUGUGGAGAACCAUGUGGAGGAGAACCAUGUGGAGGAGAACCAUGUGGAGGAGAACCAUGUGGAGGAGAACCAUGUGGAGAACCAUGUGGAUUAUUUCUCAUCAUGAUGCUAGUGAAGAAGUGGCAAAAUCAUCUUAAUUUCUUUAAUUCAGAUCGUCUGUGGUUUGAUAUUGAAGUAGCAGCUAAAAACAUACCCUCUGAAGCAUGAAGGUUGCUACUAUGUGUUAUAAUUUCUUUUCAACAAAAAUACAGCUAUUUUUAAAAGAUUAA